rnacentral:rRNA from 1 species
UACGGGGGGAGCAAGCGUUGUUCGGAUUUACUGGGCGUAAAGGGCGCGUAGGCGGUAGCACAAGUCAGUUGUGAAAUCUCCGGGCUUAACUCGGAAAGGUCAACUGAUACUGUGCGACUAGAGUGCAGAAGGGGCAACUGGAAUUCUCGGUGUAGCGGUGAAAUGCGUAGAUAUCGAGAGGAACACCUGCGGCGAAGGCGGUUGCUGGGCUGACACUGACGCUGAGGCGCGAAAGCCAGGGGAGCGAACGGG